UCAUAUCCGUCUGCACCAUCUGCCAUUUUCUUUGUUCCUCGAAACAGAAACGGUGCAACACACGCUUUGUCUGGCACGAUUCUCCAACUCUUGUUUUGUUCUGUAAAGCUCCGUAAGCCGUGAACAACAUGGAUGCGAAUCUUAAGAGGAAGAACGGCACCGGCGAAAAUAAAUAUCUGCCAGAGUUACUGGCGGAAAAAGACAGUCUGGAUUCCUCAUUCACGCACGCCAUGAAGCUCCUGACCGCAGAGGUUGAGCGGGUUCAAAAAGGUGAACCAAAGAAAGAUGGCGAGACCUAUCUGGAUCUGUUCACCGCAAAGAAUGUCCGGGUGAAAGAGAGAGUGCUCAUUCCUGUGAAGCAGUACCCUCGUUUUAAUUUUGUUGGAAAGAUUCUGGGGCCGCAGGGCAGCACCAUCAAACGCUUGCAAGAAGACACAGGGGCUAAAAUCUCUGUGUUGGGGAAAGGAUCAAUGAGAGAUAAGACCAAGGAAGAGGAGCUGAGGAAGGGUGGAGAUCUCAAGUAUGCACAUUUGGGCAUGGAGCUUCACGUGUACAUUGAGGUUUUUGCUCCCAUUCCUGAUUGUUACCUGCGUAUGGCUCAUGCUAUGGAUGAGGUCAAGAAGUUCCUUAUGCCCGUGGAUAAUAUGGAUGAGAUGCUUCAGGAUCCUUACAUGGAUCCAGGUUAUCUGAACGGCUCACAGGAUGUUCCUCCCCAUGGCAGAGGAGCCCCUCCAGGCAGGGGACGAGGUGGCCCACCUCCACCAAUGGGAGCUAGGGGUCGAGGUAUGCCCCCUCGUGGUGGACCCCGAGGUGGUGCUCCAAGAGGAGGCCCAGGGCGGGGUGCUUCAGCAAGGGGGGCCCCUGCGGGCCGAGGUGGUCCACCAUCCACACCAACCAGAGGAGGAGCUUCCUCUCGCUCAAGACCACCAGCUCCAUCUCAGAGGAUGGCACCAGCGUCUGCUCUUUCCCACCAACACCAGUCCCUACCGAAACCUGAAGGCUACGAUGAAUAUGCCUAUGAAGAACCGUAUGCAGAGGCCUCCUAUGAAGCGUAUGAAAGCUACUACAGUCAGCCUCCUGCUCAGCCAGACACAGAGUAUUAUGAUUAUGGUCAUGGAGAGGCACAGGAGACUUAUCCAUCUUACACUGAAGAUGACUGGGAUGGCGGUGCUUGGGGUAGCAGUGGUGGAAAAGCCCCGCCUGCCCGCCAGAGCAAAUCCUAUCGGGAGCAUCCAUACGGCAGAUACUGAGAGCUGUCCGUCACUGGUUGCUUGGGCAACCUCCUCCUCUCGUAACUCCUUAUAACCACCUAAACUACCUCACAUCAGAGUCACUAAAUCCCUCUGACGUUAGAGAUUGAACUCUCACGCUCCAUGUCUGUCUUCUAUUGAAAAGGAUGUUGAGGUAAGACCUGCAGAGUCACCUCUAAAAGAACCAAUAGAUUCCCUUUAUAGAAGGUAAAGUAUAUGGAAAUUAUUACAAGAAAACAAUGUAGCUGUUUGUUCUUCGGAUAUCUGUUCCUGGGCGUGUGAAACGUAAAAAAAAAAAAAAAGGCAAAAGAAACUGCAUGAUAUACAUUGUGCUCAACCAGAGUGUUACUCUACUUUCGCUGGUUUAAUAAAGAACAAAAGUGGGGAAGGCGGCGUAAGAUGUAACGCAAGCUUCAAAAAGGUAACAUCAACCCUAAAUUUCUCUCUUUAGCAUUACUGUUUCAUUCACUCAUUGAGUCCAAUUUCAAAUGUUUCCACAUUCAAAAGCCUCCAAUAUUCCUUAACAUGGCUAAUACGUAUCAUAUAACAUUAACUUUCUAAAACUACGCUUGGUAGACUUCAGUAGAAUGUGUUUUUAUUAAGUGCAACGCUAAAAUUAUAGAUUUUAGUCCAAUAUUCUGUUCUUUAAAGACACGUUUUUACUCAAUUCUGUUGUACAAAAUGAGACAAAAGAUCCUCUUCAAUCUAACAAGCAUGAGAUGACGUGUAAAGAGUUGGAUUGAGAUUUUGGUGUUUUGUAUCCUAACUAAUUUUUUUGUGUUGCUCAGUGACUGACGCAAAGAAGUGGUGUCCAGACAGGGUUCACAAGGCAGCUGCUACAGGUUUUUGAUGCCAUUUAUUGUACCAAAGAGGAAAGUGAUCGAGCAAAUUUUGUAUGAUCUUUUGUAUGAAUUUUUUUAAACGUGUAUUUCAAAAUGCUUUUUUUUUUUUUCCCAAUAAAAUUAUGGGAAGUCACAUUUUAUUGAACAAUGUAUUUCUUUUAGAAAACAAGUUGGUUGUGAGGGAGUGUGCACAAUAAAGCAUGUGUUUUAAAUUGAUGAAGUUCAUUUUAUGUAAUUUUUUCCUCAAGUUUUGAAAGUAGUUAAGUGUAGGCUGACUCUUGUUUACUGAAAACCACUAGUGGCUGGAGUAAAAACUUAAGCAGUAGUUCUUUGUUAGGGUUUUUUUAUGGUUCUUUUGUUUUUUCAUUACUCACAUUGACCUUAACAGAUGUUGUCUCCAGUAUGGAAUUUUCCUUUGUACAUUCGGAAAAGCGCUCCUUUUCUUGCAAGUGCCUGACAAAUAAUGUCUUUUAAUGGUCUAAAUUGUAUAAGAUGUUAAAACUAGUGUAUUCUAUGCCUGAAUGUAUUUUUAAAAUGAACCUAACAAUUUUAUAUAUAUAUAUAUACCACAACAUUAAAACCACCUGCCUAAUAUUGUGUGGGUCCACCACAUGCUGCCAAAACGGCACCAACCCACAUCUCAGAAUUGCAUUCAGAGACGCUAUUCUUCUCACCACAAUUGUACAGAGUGGAUAUGAGUUACCGUAGACUCUGGCCAGACAGAUUCAAACUGACAUUCUCUGUUGACCUCAUCAGAGGCAUUUCUGUCCACAGAACUGCCGCUCACUGGAUUUUUUUGUUGUUUUUGGCACCAUUUGGAGUAAAUUCUAAAGAAUGUUAUGUAUGAAAAUCCCAGGAGAUCAGCAGUUACAGGUAUACUCAAACCAGCCCAUCUGGCACCAACAGUCAUCUAUGUGUUCAUCUAAUCAACUAGUCGUGUGGCAGCAGUGCAUAAAAUUCAGAUAUGGUUCUGGAGCUUCAGUUAAUGUUCACAUCAACCAUCAGAAUGGGGAAAAAAUGUGAUCUCAGUGAUUUGGACCGUGGCAUGAUUGUUGGUGCGAGAUGGGCUGGUUUGAGUAUUUAUGUAACUGCUGAGCUCCUGGGAUUUACUCAAUGGUGCCAAAAACAAAAAACAUCCAGUGAGCGGCAGUUCUGUGGAUGGAAACGCCUUGUUGAUUAGAGAGGUCAACAGAGAAUGGCCAGACUUGUUCGAAAUGACACAGUCUACGGUAACUCGGAUAACCACUCUGUACAAUUGUGUUGAGAAGAAUAUCAUCUCAGAAUGCUAUUUUGAGAUGUGGGUUGGCGCUGUUUUGGUGGCAAGGGGGGGGACCUACACAAUAUUAUGCAGGUGGUUUAAAUGUUGUGGCUGUUUGGUGUAUAGGAGAAUCAGGCUGUACUGAAAAUAUAUUUAGGUAACUCCUGUUUUAUUUUGUAGCAGUUGUCGAAUUAUACAACUGGCCAUUUCUAGCUGUGGUUUGUGUUGGUCUCAAACAUCUGUUUCUAAAUUUAUUGUAUCUAUCUGCAGUUUUUUCAAUUGUUUUCUAUGUAAAGCAAACAUUAAAUGAAAGUCUUUCA